CUGCUUCCCGACUGCGACGUGUGCGGGUCGGGGGCACCCGCGCUGACUCAAGGGGUGGUGCCCCGCCUAGGUCAAGGAGGUGGGUUUCCAAACAUCACAAGACCGCUCGGCGAGGUUAGUCACCGCGCCUGGUGGCACCUCUAGGUGAGCUGGAAGGGUGCUUGCUCCUAAUGAGGCUAAUGAUGCUAACCACCUUGUCAUUUGCCCCGUUAGGUGAAUUGCGUUUUGGCAAGGACGAGAAACCGGAACCAGAAUGAUCACUGAAAGAGUGACUCUCUACUUAAAUGGACUUUGCAUCAAGUUAACUAAAUCAUGGUUUAUCAACUUUCAAAAAUGUUGCUUGUUUGGGCUGGAGAGAUGGCUUAGAGGUUAAGAGCACUGGCUGCUUUAACAGAGGACCCAGGUUCCGUUCCCAGCACCUGUAAGAGUCGGCUGAUUGGUGAACCAAAGGAAAAGAAUCAGAACGCCAUGUGACGGUGCAACAGAAAAUGAGGAGAAGACUGACCACCGUAUCCAUCUCACCUUGGGAAUUUGAUCUGUACACCAUCCGUCCUGUUCUUGGGAUCAUGUUAGCGGCUCUUUGAGUUUAUUACGCCACGAUUGAUGACCUCCCUCCACCCUCUGUCAACACACCUUUCCUAAAAGGUGCAAAUUAAAGCAGGCUUUUUUAAAAGUGUGUGAAGAUGGACGGCCUUCCUGGAAGAUUCUAACGUAGACACCCAGACCUGAGGGUCCCACUCGUAGCUGAAGUGGAAAUGCCUAAUGAGAAGUGUGCCAAGUUGGUCUGUGCAUCCACACUGGUUCUGUAAUGAAGGGGUGGUAAUAAUUACACAGUGCUGUGCUUUCCGUAAGAAGGAGUCCAGGCGAUGGCCUCAAGCAUGUCAUAAAUCCUCCAUCAAUUAUCUUUACAGCUUCCUAGUACUGUACUUAAAU